rnacentral:lncRNA from 1 species
CGCAAGUUUACCCAGGUUCGGGGCUCUCCGGAGAGAUAAUACCCCUACUCCUGCAUGUCUGAGUAUCUGUAGUAUAUCUGGUACAGAGUUGCUCCUGGAGCUGUAUCUGAGCUCAGUGCCAUAGGCAUCUGGCUUUGCAUAUGUCUCAUAUAUGUGUAUGAGCUAGCUAGCAAGUGGGCAUGAGAGAGCUCCACCGUGAGUGGGCAUGGAUGCAUGCGUGUGUGUGAGCCUGGAGUGGAUGGAUGGAUGGGUGGCAUAUAUAUAGGUGAGCUAGCUUACUACCUAAGCUAGGUAGUGGCGUGGGGGGCAAGUGGGCAUGGGGCACCAUGCCCAUGAUGGUGUGGACGUGAUGUGCAUGCCUCCUUGUCCCUGGCGCACUUUAUAAAACAGUGUCCAGGGAUAGAAACAAUGUAGAUGAUGUCGUCGCGGUACAGCCGUCUCGUCCGCGGUAUGGCCGUCACGGCGGGGUCUUGUCGGUGUCGGGUCGGGCUAUAGUCGGCAGCCGGCUGGUUGGUGCAGUCGGCAGCCGGCAGCCGGCCAGAUAGCCGACCGGGUGGAGCAGUCGGACGGGGAGCCGGCAGGAGCGGCCGGGCAGUCGGACUGAGGGGCUUUGCUAGCCCCGAUGUCUUGAAAUAUUGUCUUGCCGUCUUCGGGAUACCCGUGGCCAAUUACUCCGACAGUAGCCCCCAAGCCUCCAGGCAACUUGGCAAAGUUGGGCGGAGGUUUUUUGACGGGUGUUUCAUGGAAAUGAUCAUGCAAAAGACAAAGUUAGUCCACGCAGAUAUAUCAAACGAUUGCUUUUAGCAUUGCAAGUUUUAUGCGGAGGGUGCCGACUCGGUUUCGUCCGAGCCUCCUUCAAUCUCUUUCAUGUUCCCUCCACUCUUUGGCUUGCUCUCGCUUGCCGGACAGCCGCUCUGCGGUCUGUGGCUGAGAGUGGGCCGCGGAGUGGAGUGUACAAUACUCAGACUCUGGGAGCGAAUUUAACCGAGCAAAUACUCAUAAAGAGAACGGCCGGGUCGCCCGAACCGCUUUUCUUCCCGGACGUUUUUCGCGUGGGUGGCCUCCAGCGUUCACUCUUGCUAGCCGGACAACCACUCUGCGGUCUGUGACUAAGAGUGGGCCUUUGGUACCGCGCACGCUACUAAGCCGUCUGCGGGAACAAACGUCUCAGGCCAAGCGGCCAGCCCCCGGGCCAACUCUAGCUGGCGCCGGGGCGAACAGUGCUGCAACUGUAAUAAAAUGCGGAGAUAGCCCCCGAGCAUCGCUCGGGGUUAUCCGUGCUCUCGUGGUGAAAAAAUAUGCGGGUGAGGAGCUCACAUUGAUUUUCGUGUAGCCGAGGCGGAGGUCGUCGAAGACAGCCGGCGCGGCUCGGCGCUUGCGGAGCGCAUCGGCGCACCCGCUGGGUGUAGCCGUCGAGCCUCUAGGCGCUCGAGGAGGGUCCAGCCGGUCGAGCCUGACCGGCUAGGCGGCAAGCAGAACGCAGUCGAGCCAGCCUGGCACAGCCGGCCAGGUGGCGAGGCGUCUGGCAGCGCCCUUUUUCUUCUUUCUUCUCAUGUUUUUGUUUCUUGCAAUCUUCCGUGGGGGCGCGCCAGCGCACCCACUGGGUGUAGCCCCCGAGAUUCGGGCCGACUGCUGAGCAGUCGGGCCAUAUCUCCCGGCAACUACUUUGUCUUCUUCCUUGCGGGGGCGCGUCAGCGCACCCGCUUGGUGUAGCCCCCGAGAUUCGGGCCGACUGCUGAGCAGUCGGGCCGGAUCUUCCGGCGACUACUUUGUCUUCUUCUUCGUGAGGGCCCGUCAGCGCACCCGCUAGGUGUAGCCCCUGAGAUUCGGGCCGACUGCUGAGUAGUCGGGCCGGAUCUCCCAGCGAUUACUUUGUCUUCUUUUUCGCGGGGGCGCGUCAGCGCACCCGCUGGGUGUAGCCCCCGAGAUUCGGGCCAACUGCUGAGCAGUCGGGCCGGAUCUCUCGGCGACUACUUUGUCUUCUUUCUUUGAAGUUGGUUCUCUUUUUUUUCUUCUCUUUCUCCGGCUGUGGGCAGCCGGACGCACAUUUCUUUCAGCCAGCUGGACAGCCGGUCUCUCUAAAAACGAGCAGCCGUCUCGCAUUUAUCUCCUUCUCUCUCUUUUUUUCUUUGCCAGUCGGCUGUGUGCAGUCGGACACACUCCAGCCGGCCUCUUCUCUCUUUUUUUUUCUGUCUUGGCACUCGACCACUGAUUUUUCUAGCCGACUACACAUAGCCGGCCUGCAUUUUUUUCAGCCGGAUCCGGCUGCUCUUUUCUGCUGGCAGAGGAGCGCGGGGCGAGGCCGCGACGGCAGCCGGAUGGGAGGCGGCCCAGGCUGGGAGCCGGCCGGCGCGGUGAGCCGGCACGCGGGCAGGUGGCGGGGCGGCCGAGCGCGGUGGAGCUGGUAGGCGAGGCGGAGCCGGCCGAGCGCCGGGUCGCCGGGUUGGCAGGCGGAGCCGGCACACGCGACCCGGCCACGGGCGGAGGCGGAGCCGGCGGUCGGUGGAGCGGUAGGGGCCACGCGCGUGCGGGGCGGAGCCGGCCCGGGGCCGCGGCCGGCUGGAGGCGGCGGUGCGAGGCGCACGGGGCGGGAGCCAGCGUGAGAGCGCGCAGGAGGUAACCCGGCGAGGACCCGGAGCCGGCGGGUGCGGGGCACCCGGCCGCAGGUGGAGGCGACCCGGCGGGGACCCGGAGCCGGCUGGUGCGGGGAUGGGUGGCCAAGCGCGACGCUCGCCGGACUCGGCCGGGCGUGGGGUAGCACCAGGGAGCCGGACACGGCCGGGCUCGAGGUGGAGCAGGCGCGCGCGUAGUCCGGACGCGGACGGGCACUGGGCGGCAGGGGAGCCGGCCAGCGCGGAAGUCGGCCGAGCGGGGUGAGUCCGGUAGGCGGCGCGAGAGGCCGGCCAGCGCGGGAGGCGGCGGCGGACGAGACACCGAAGGUGGCGUCGCACGGGGGGACGACGACGGGGGCGCGAGCCAGCGGGCGGCGCAGGCGACCCGGAGUCGUCGCGGGCCGGGCGCGCGGAGGAGGCCGGAGCGGGGCGCGGCCGGACGCUGCGAGCAGGCGGGACCGAAGCCGGCCGGAGCCGGCGCAGCCAGGUUGUGGGAGGAGCCGAUGGCUGGGGCGACGCGAGGCAGAGGGUCGGCGUGCGCGCAAGCCGGCCAGCGCGGGGCGGCGAGCCGGCAGGAGCGCGGGAGCCGGCGAGGGGCGGCGACGCCGGCGUAGCAGGGUAGGCCUGGCGCACCGGGGCGUUUGACGGAGCGGGCCAUAGCAGCAGGCACGCGGGGGUGCUGACACAGACGACCGUGCCAGCGCAGGCAUGCGGCCGCGGGUAGAGGAGGAGUGGCUGGGGGAGGCCGGCCCACCCACUGGAUGUGGAGAGGGGCGGAAGCAGCUCGAGGGCGGAGCAGCGCUGCGACUGGGCGCGGGGAGGACUGCUGUGGGAGGAGGGCCAGGCGCGGAGAUGGGGCUGCGCCGUCAGAGAAGAGCACAGGCGAGCUACUAGUCUGGCCAUAGUCUGGAACGAGUAUCUGAGACAUCUACGACUUGUGUUUGGGGCAUGUAUGAUGAUUAUCUGGCCAUUGUCUGACUAGUAUCCGGCCAUUGCACGGGAAGUGUCUGACUAUUGUAUGGCAUUAUCUGACCAUAGUCAAGGAAGUGUACGACCAUGGUAUGAGGAUUGACUGGCUUGCUGGCUAGCGUGUAUGGAGGAGCGACCGCGCACUACGGCCGAAGCUAGACGAGCAUGGAGGGGAGCGGACACGAGCAGCGCGCGGAUUGAUGCGGCCGACCGAACCGAGGCCACGUGCGCGGCGCGCGCGUGGACGGACGGCCGGCGUCACAACAGUGAUGAUGACGAAGGCGGCGAGGCUGACGACGAGGACGCGCCGUCCCGCGCGGCCGCUCCGGGGGCGGGUCGAAGUCGAGCCCCCGAGCGCUAUUGGAGAGACGGCGCGACGCCGCGGCGGUGAUGGCGAAGAUGGUCCCGCCCGGACUGCGAAACCAGCGGCAGCGUGGUAGCAUAGUAGUAGUACCACACCACGGUGGGCACCAACUGUCGUGGUAUUCUCACGGGGGAGGUGUGAGGCGACAGAUGCCACAAGGGCUUAGUGUGAGGGUAAGACUGCUGCUGAUAGGUCCGGGAGCGGGUAUGCGAGUAGCACGCGCAAGUUUACCCAGGUUCGGGGCUCUCCGGAGAGAUAAUACCCCUACUCCUGCAUGUCUGAGUAUCUGUAGUAUAUCUGGUACAGAGUUGCUCCUGGAGCUGUAUCUGAGCUCAGUGCCAUAGGCAUCUGGCUUUGCAUAUGUCUCAUAUAUGUGUAUGAGCUAGCUAGCAAGUGGGCAUGAGAGAGCUCCACCGUGGGUGGGCAUUGAUGCAUGCGUGUGUGUGAGCCUGGAGUGGAUGGAUGGAUGGGUGGCAUAUAUAUAUAGGUGAGCUAGCUUACUACCUAAGCUAGGUAGUGGCGUGGGGGGCAAGUGGGCAUGGGGCACCAUGCCCAUGAUGGUGUGGACGUGAUGUGCAUGCCUCCUUGUCCCUGGCGCACUUUAUAAAAUAGUGCCCAGGGACAGAAACACUGUAGAUGAUGUCGUCGCGGUACAGCCGUCUCGUCCGCGGUAUGGCCGUCACGUCGGGGUCUUGUCGGGUCAGGCUGCAGUCGGCAGCCGGCUGGUUGGUGCAGUCGGCAGCCGGCAGCCGGCCAGGUAGCCGACCGGGUGGAGCAGUCGGAUGGGGAGCCGGCAGGAGCGGCCGGGCAGUCGGACUGAGGGGCUUUGCUAGCCCCGAUGUCUUGAAAUAUUGUCUUGCCGUUUUCGGGAUACCCGUGGCCAAUUACUCCGACAUUGAGUGAGAUAUUCCUAUGAGUAUGUGUGCAAUGCAUAUCUUAUAUGCUCAUUGGUUUUCCUUGGUUCAUAUGUUGAACUUUGUGUGCUAUCAUAUGUUGAUUUGUCACUUUUUUUCAUUUUGGGCAACAUGAAUGUCUAGUGAUGUUAUUGGAAGUAUUAACAGUUAUGUGUUCAUUUGUCCAAUUUGUAUCUCCCUAGAUUUUGGUAGGCUUGUUCAUGCAUAUUUA